rnacentral:rRNA from 1 species
CGAGCGCCCGCAAGGGGAGCGGCAGACGGGUGAGUAACGCGUGGGAACGUACCUUUUGCUACGGAAUAACUCAGGGAAACUUGUGCUAAUACCGUAUGUGCCCUUCGGGGAAAGAUUUAUCGGCAAAGGAUCGGCCCGCGUUGGACUAGCUAGUUGGUGAGGUAAAGGCUCACCAAGGCGACGAUCCAUAGCUGGUCUGAGAGGAUGAUCAGCCACACUGGGACUGAGACACGGCCCAGACUCCUACGGGAGGCAGCAGCC